CAACCAGGCGUAACAUUCCCCCCACUAGGCAUCCCCAUAAUCAAACACCUGUGUAUAAAAAUUAAAAAAAAACCUAUUAAAAUAAUAAAAGAAAAAGAAUGAAAAAAAGACCGUCAUCAUCCAUUGCCAAUGCCGUCAACAUCAAAAGGAUACACAACCCAAGGUCAUUGUUGGAUUGUUACAGUUUCCCCAUAUGUAUUGUUGUUACUACCGCUGGUUCUUUGCCAAGGUUAUAGGCCUUGGCAUCUACUUGCCAAUUGUGUGACA